UAUUUCUGAAAUACUAUUUUUCUUUUUGUGUCUCAGGUCACUUUCUUGGCAACAACACUGUCAUUGAUGUGCUUCGUCGUCAGGGAUACGAGGUGGAGCACACUCCCGCGGAACAGCCAUUAAAAAGACCCACCUCGCCUGAAUCUGAGGACCACCAUGAAGAAUUCCCAGCUCUGGAGCCUUUCCUCCAUGAACUCCCCAUCGCGGACACGACCAUUUGGACGAGGAGCACCUGCCUCACCUGCUCUUCCCGCCAGAUAGCUUGGAGCUGCUGGAGAAAGCGGAGAGGAAGAUGUUGAAAAAGAAGAGGCGGAACAAACAGAAGAAGCAGCGGCACCGGCAUUUCAAUGACCUGUGGGUUCGCAUUGAGGACAGCAAUGUGGUCCAGUCUCCUCCUCCACCGAUGGUCAGAAUCAUUAACGGCUACAUCACAGUGCAACCUCCGGAUAAACCGCCGCAGAUCAACUACGAUCGCCACUACACAUCCUCCGCGACUUCAAAUGUAUAUUUCUUCUCCUCCUUACUCACUCUGCUCAUCUGCCAAACAACCAUCACAUGUCUCAUACAAAUUCUGGUACUGUAGAGCACUCAAAUGUGAAUGUUUGUAGAAAUGUGUUGAUGAAGGGCCAUGCAACUUCAGUUAAUCUGAGGACAAACUGUAAACUGACAAAUGGUAAAGUAUACCAUACCGUACCAUAAACUACUGGGCAGAGCACCAUCGAAUUCUAGGUCCUAACCUCAAAGUACGUUGCCUACACAUCGCUGUGAGAUGACCAACUGGGAACACCGCAGCCUUGUAUGACGUGUUAUUAUGUGGCGGAAAAUGGACAUUCGUGACUUGAAGCUAAAACACCAUGAGUUUGUGUAAAUGAUGUAAAUUGUAUGGCUUUUUGGAAAUGUAUGUAUGUGUGAACCAUGUGAGCUCUUAACCCACAAAAUGUUGAUGUUUCUACCUUUAAUUUAUUCUUCCAUUUUAGAAGAAUGUGUUGGUUGUUACGAAGGGGACUGUACAUAUUGUUUAAAUGUCAUAGAGGUUUUAGAUAUAUUAAAUACAUUGGCGUUUAUAAAUAUAUAAAUAGGAAUGCAGUAUUUUUUUUUUAAGAAGAGAAUCAGGAAUUUACCUGCGUGGCCUGAGAAGUUGGCUUUCCGUAGGGGCAGAACGGGACAGGCCAGGACGUUUUGCCAGUGCUUCGACAGCCAAAGGUGAACUGCUCCACGCCCAAAGUAGGGCGGGGGGUCCACACCGCUCCAAACCCAGAGCCCUUCAGCCCUUGGGUCUGGCGCUGUUUGUUUUUAGACUGGUUUGAUAAGGUGAGGGAGAAUGUACACUCAAGCGUACAUACACAAAUAUUUGUCAUAUUUAACCAAGUGCUUACUUGGUAUGGCGAUAAGUGUUGUGUUAGAGUAAUGAUAAGAAUGGCCUGUGUUACCAAGUUUCUCAAAGCGCCACACUGUAGUUGUUGUUCUUUCACACCAUACUCAAUGGUGUUCUCUGAGAAUGGCGACUUGAGCUAGUUAUGAUUAGCAAAACAAAGCUAGCUUAGCGAUAGCUUUAUCCUGUUUUGGCACUCCCUUCAAUGCAUGUUUUGUUUAGAAACAUUUACAAAGCAUCUAACACCACUAAAAUCCAUAACAUUGCAUCAUCAGUUGUUAAAAAGUAGUACAGAGGGC
ensembl:lncRNA